UACGAAGGGGGCUAGCGUUGUUCGGAAUUACUGGGCGUAAAGCGCGCGCAGGCGGUCUAUCAAGUCAGAGGUGAAAGCCCAGAGCUUAACUCUGGAACUGCCUUUGAAACUGAUGGACUUGAGUACGGGAGAGGUGAGUGGAAUUCCGAGUGUAGAGGUGAAAUUCGUAGAUAUUCGGAAGAACACCAGUGGCGAAGGCGGCUCACUGGCCCGUUACUGACGCUCAGGCGCGACAGCGUGGGGAUCAAACAGG
rnacentral:rRNA from 1 species